AUGAGAUCCCAAAUCGAUUUUCACCAAAGAGAAAUCUCUUCAGAACCCAAAUUAUUUGAACAUCAGAUCUCAACUCCAAUUUUGUUUUCAACCUUAAAACCCAAAUCGAUUUUCACUGAAGGGAAAUCAAUUUCGCCCCAGAACCUAAGUUCUUUUUUAACUUCAGAAUUCAAAUCCAAUUUUAAUUUCAACCUGAGAACCCAAAUUGAUUUUCACCUUCAAAACCCAAAUCAAUUUCAACUUUCACCAUCGAAAUUGUUUUUACCUUCACCACCUUAA